rnacentral:lncRNA from 1 species
AAAAUUGUUGUCAGACCAUUCUCUGUAGAUCUCUCUCAUUUCUGCAUAUCUUGAAUGCACAGGUACUAAUUGACCUUUGUUCUGGAGCAAAGUGCAGCCAUGUAUACUGUUUAGAAUUAUAAAUAAGUUAUCUGUCUGUGGCAAAGAUCAGGCCUGCUGACUCCUGGUUUUGAAAGACUUGGGUUCGAUAAGCUCAGGAAUCCUCUCCCGUAGAAUGUGUUCAAGCAUUUAUCUGGACACUUCUUGGAAACAAAGGAAACUGGAAACUAGCAAAUAUGCAGAUGCUCAUGCUUCUUGCUUUGUUUAAAGAGGAAAACUGAAGCAUUGUCUCUAAAAGUUUGAAACAUAUGGUUAAAGUAUAGGUGACUUCAGUGAUGCCACACACUGGCCACACACUAAGGAGAAAGGGUCUGGGAAAAGCAAGAAAGUCACCACUGAGGAAGUGAAGAAGGAGUUGCCAUCUGGAAAAUAGAGGUUAUGACGCAACAAGGCAAAAGGAAGAGGAUUCCACGGAGAGAACAGGAAACAGGAAAUGCAGGCACCCGGGCAACAGUAAAAUCACAAAUACAAAUAUGUCCUCUGACUAAUGCACACCCACACACACUCAAAUGCAGAAAAGGGUAAAAUUAGUUGCUUUCUCACAUUGGAUAACUUCUCAGGGCACAAUCUCAAGAUUGGUGAUUUGAUAAAAAAUUACAUAAUGUUUCACAUGUCUAGACUUCAAUCCAUUCUAAAUGAAUAUUUUCCUUCUUUAACCAGUAU